rnacentral:rRNA from 1 species
UACCCGCAGCACAAGUGGUGGUCAUUAUUAUUGGGCCUAAAGCGUCCGUAGCUGGCCUGUUAGAUGCCUGGGUAAAUCGAUGCGCUUAACGCAUCGAAUUCCGGGUAGACCGGCAAGCUCGAGACCGGGAGAGGCGUGAGCUACUCAAGGGGUAGGGGUAAAAUCCUGUAAUCCUUUGGGGAGGACCAGUGGCGAAGGCGUCACGCUAGAACGGCUCUGACAGUGAGGGACGAAGCCCUGGGGCGCAAACCGG